AAAGUCGUAACAAGGUUUCCGUAGGUGAACCUGCGGAAGGAUCAUUAUUGAAUAGCGGUGUCUUUUGACCCACCCUUCAUUAUCCUUCUAAUACCUGUGAACUGUCUAGGAGCUGUUAUGUUGUUUGACGUUGUCAACGGCACAGCAGUUUCCAAACUAUCAAUAAAAACAACGUAUAAAGCAUGUAUAACAUUAAAUCAAUCCAACUUUGUUUUUUGUGUAAGGGCUUUGCCUGGUCAUAACUAACAUAUUGGGACGAUAAUUAAUCAUAAUACAACUUUUAGCAACGGAUCUCUUGGCUCUC
rnacentral:misc_RNA from 1 species